GGUGGAGUGACCGAGUGGUUAAGGUGCAGCAUUUAGGUACGUACCUUUCAAGGUAUUGAUAGACCUGCUGUGGGAAACCGCGCGAGUUCGAAUCUCGUCUCCAUCA